GGCUUAUUUUUAGAGUAAAUUCCUAGAAGUGGGAUUUCUGGAACAAAAGAGAUGGAGUCUAUCUAUGUCAUCUAGGCUGGUCUCAAGCUCCUAAGCUCAAGCAAUCCCUCCCGUCUCAGUCCUCCCUGCCCUGUCUCUUACCAGAGACUUCAGGAUAAACUCCAGGGAUUGAGUGCUGGUGUCAAAUAAACUUCAACAUGGGAAACAUCGGAAGAAUACAUUCUGCACUUCUUCCAGACUUGGAAAGAACUGGGGCCAAUUAAAAGUGAACUUUUAAGAGAAAUGAACAUCUUGC
rnacentral:lncRNA from 1 species